AGUAAGUGAAAAAGAAUAUUUGACCAAA
rnacentral:piRNA from 1 species